UACGGAGGGUGCAAGCGUUAAUCGGAAUUACUGGGCGUAAAGCGCACGCAGGUGGCUGAGUCAGUCGAUUGUGAAAGCCCUGGGCUUAACCUGGGAAUUGCAGUCGAUACUACUCAGCUAGAGUAUGGGAGAGGGCAGUGGAAUUCCAGGUGUAGCGGUGAAAUGCGUAGAUAUCUGGAGGAACACCGGUGGCGAAGGCGGCAUCCUGGACCGGCAUUGACGCUGAGGAGCGAAAGCCAGGGGAGCAAACGGG
rnacentral:rRNA from 1 species